UUCCCCUAGUAACGGCGAGUGAAGAGGGAAGAGCCCAAGAUUGAAAGCUGGCGUCUUCGGCGUCCGCAUUGUAAUCUCAAGAAGUGUUUUCCGCUUCGGACCAAGCCUAAGUCCCCUGGAAAGGGGCAUCAUAGAGGGUGAUAAUCCCGUACAUGGCUUGGAGCGCCCGAGGCUUUGUGAUACGCUUUCUAAGAGUCGAGUUGUUUGGGAAUGCAGCUCAAAAUGGGUGGUAAAUGCCAUCUAAGGCUAAAUAUUGGGGAGAGACCGAUAGCGAACAAGUACAGUGAUGGAAAGAUGAAAAGAACUUUGAAAAGAGAGUUAAACAGUACGUGAAAUUGCCAAAAGGGAAGGGUAGGAGGUCAGAGAUGCGGCCUGGGAUUCAGCCUUGCUUUUGCUUGGUGUUUUUCCCAGAUUGCAGGCCAACGUCGGUUUUGGGCACUGGAGAAGGGUAGGAGGAACGUGGCACCUCUCGGGGUGUGUUAUAGCCUCCUACUGGAUACAGCGACCGAGACCGAGGACAGCAGCGUACUCGCAAGAGCGGGCCUUCGGGCACCUUUACGCUUAGGGCGUUGGCAUAAUGGCCCUCUACCACCCGUCUUG
rnacentral:rRNA from 1 species